GACGGACGCUGGCGGCGUGCCUAACACAUGCAAGUCGAACGGGACUGGGGGCAACUCCAGUUCAGUGGCGGACGGGUGCGUAACACGUGAGGAACAUGACUUUCGGUGGGGGAUAGCCGGCCCAACGGCCGGGUAAUACCGCGUACGACCUCUCGGGGACAACCCCGGUUGGAGAAAGCAGCCAUGCGCCCAAAGAGUGCCUCGCGGCCUCUCAGCUAGUUGGUGGGGUAACGGCCCACCAAGGCGACGACGGGUAGCUGGUCUGAGAGGAUGGCCAGCCACAUUGGGACUGAGACACGGCCCAGACUCCUACGGGAGGCAGCAGUGGGGAAUAUUGCGCAAUGGGCGAAAGCCUGACGCAGCGACGCCGCGUGUGGGAUGACGGCCUUCGGGUUGUAAACCACUGUCGGGAGGGACGAAUGCCCCGCAAGGGGAGUGACGGUACCUCCAAAGGAAGCACCGGCUAACUCCGUGCCAGCAGCCGCCGCAG
rnacentral:rRNA from 1 species